rnacentral:rRNA from 1 species
ACGCGAAAGUCCCCUUCGGGGGACAAGUAGAGUGGCGCACGGGUGAGUAACACGUAGGUAAUCUACCUUCGGGUGGGGAAUAACAACCGGAAACGGUUGCUAAUACCGCAUAAUGCAGCGGCACCUAAUGGUGACAGUUGUUAAAGCGGGGGAUCGCAAGACCUCGCGCCUGAAGAGGAGCCUGCGGCGGAUUAGCUAGUUGGCAGGGUAACGGCCUACCAAGGCAACGAUCCGUAGCCGGCCUGAGAGGGCGGUCGGCCACACUGACACUGACAUACGGGUCAGACUCCUACGGGAGGCAGCAGUCGGGAAUUUUGGGCAAUGGGCGAAAGCCUGACCCAGCAACGCCGCGUGAAGGAUGAAAUCCCUCGGGAUGCAAACUUCGCAAGAACGGGGAGAAUAAGCCGGUGUUAACACCACCGGCGAUGACGGUACCGUUUGUAAGCUCCGGCUAACUCCGUGCCAGCAGCCGCGGUAAUACGGGGGGAGCAAGCGUUG